AACGAACGCUGGCGGCAUGCCUAACACAUGCAAGUCGAACGAGAUCUUCGGGUCUAGUGGCGCACGGGUGCGUAACGCGUGGGAAUCUGCCCUUUGGUUCGGAAUAACAGUUGGAAACGACUGCUAAUACCGGAUGAUGACGAAAGUCCAAAGAUUUAUCGCCAGAGGAUGAGCCCGCGUAGGAUUAGCUAGUUGGUGUGGUAAAGGCGCACCAAGGCGACGAUCCUUAGCUGGUCUGAGAGGAUGAUCAGCCACACUGGGACUGAGACACGGCCCAGACUCCUACGGGAGGCAGCAGUGGGGAAUAUUGGACAAUGGGUGAAAGCCUGAUCCAGCAAUGCCGCGUGAGUGAUGAAGGCCUUAGGGUUGUAAAGCUCUUUUACCCGGGAUGAUAAUGACAGUACCGGGAGAAUGAGCUCCGGCUAACUCCGUGCCAGCCGCCGCGGUAA
rnacentral:rRNA from 1 species